rnacentral:rRNA from 1 species
CGGUAAUUCCAGCUCUGUAAGCGUAUACCAAAGUUGUUGCAGUUAAAACGCUCGUAGUCGGACUUUGGCAGUUCCGGAUGUGUGCGCAUCGUGCGCGCACUUUGCAGGAGUUGCUUUUGUGGGCAUGCGUGGGAUGAUGCGACUUUAUUGUCGAACGUCCCUACGCAACCACCUUUUACUGUGAGAAAAUUAGAGUGUUCAAAGCAGGCAAUUGCCGUGAAUAUAUUAGCAUGGAAUAAUAGAAUAGGACUCGGUCUUAUUUUGUUGGUUUGUUAGGGCUGAGUAAUGAUUAAGAGGGACAGUUGGGGGCAUUUGUAUUCAGGCGCUAGAGGUGAAAUUCUUAGAUUGCCGGAAGACAAACUGCUGCGAAAGCGUCUGCCAAGGAUGUUUUCAUUGAUCAAGAACGAAAGUAAGGGGAUCGAAGACGAUCAGAUACCGUCGUAGUCUUUACUAUAAACGAUGAGGACUGGGGAUCGGGCGAGGAAUAUCGAUGACCCGCCCGGCACCCUCCGGGAAACCAAAGUGUUUGCUUUCUGGGGGGAGUAUGGUCGCAAGGCUGAAACUUAAAGGAAUUGACGGAAGGGCAUCACCGGGUGUGGAGCCUGCGGCUUAAUUUGACUCCAACACGGGA